rnacentral:misc_RNA from 1 species
GAAAUGCAAAAGUGAUUAGUUUAGCAAUAACACGAAGACCUAGAGAUUUUCCAUUCAUUUUCACAGCUUGGUAUCCUAUCUUUAACUUCUGUGAUCCUUUCACAUCAAUUUUCUUUCAUGCGCAUGAAUGAAAGAUCCGGACAUGCUUCAUUGCUUAACUUUGGUGCACAUAAUUUUCACAAAGAUGGUAACCCUCUACACUCCAUACUUAGGAUAUCAUUUUUAUCAGAUUCAUUUUAUUAUUUUUAUCAAAUUCUUCUUUUUGAACUUGCUCGAUUAAUAUUUUUCCCUUUUCUGAAUUACACACUUUCAUACCAGUCAGUAAAAGGAAUGCACUGUUAAAAUUUGACUUACCAAACCAUGCAGGG